rnacentral:lncRNA from 1 species
AAACCAGGCAAGAUCAUAUUCUUUUCAGUUUGCUUCCAGAGAUCUUCCCAAAGAUGACCAGCCAGCCUUCAUUAGUAAAUACACUGCAUCCUUCUCCCCACUGACCAGUGAGUUCCUACAGCGGGCUGCCCCACAAGCUGCACAAGCACACUGGGCAGCUCUGCUCCUACUCCAUCAUGAAGAGCAUCUGUGGAGAACAAUCCUGACCCUUUCAGGCUGAUUUAGGCCCUGUCUUCCUGAGGCUCACUUUGAAUGUUGUGGCAAAACCACUGACAGAGCUUUUUGAAGAGUCUAGGGAGCAAGUACAAGUCGCCCUCUUCCCUUAACUGAAGAAUCGUUCUCCAACUCUCCAUCAUCGGGAAGGUAGCUUCAGAAGGAGGCCAAGAAGAGG